UUAGUGUCAAUGAUGGUAUUAAAUAUACUAUGAGUUAACAGCUGUGAACACAACCUAAAACUGAGGCACCUA